CGUAGGGGGCAAACGUUGUCCGGAUUUACUGGGUGUAAAGGGUGCUCAGGCGGUUUUGUAAGUCAGAAGUGAAAUCCUAGAGCUUAACUCUGGAACUGCUUUUGAUACUGCAAAGCUUGAAUGUGGAAGAGGAGGAUGGAAUUUCUGGUGUAGCAGUGAAAUGCGUAGAUAUCAGAAAGAACACCAGUGGCGAAGGCGAUCCUCUGGUCCAUUAUUGACGCUAAAGCACGAAAGCGUGGGGAGCAAACAGGAUUAGAUACCCUGGUAGUCCACGCCUUAAACGAUGAAUACUAGACGUUGGGGUUAAACUCAGUGUCGCAGCUAACGCAUUAAGUAUUCCACCUGGGGAGUACGAUCGCAAGGUUG
rnacentral:rRNA from 1 species